CCAAACGAGGCAAUGAUGCCAAGGACAAUGUGUUAGGGCUCUCCAGAGAAACAAAACCAACAGGAGAGAGAGAGACAGAAAUAGAGAGAGAAAGGGAGAGAUUUAUUAUGAAGAACUAGGUCAUGUCAUUACAGGGGCUGGGAAGUUCCACAGUCCACCAUCGGCCAGCUAGAGACCCAGGAUUACCUGUUGUGUAGCUCCAGUCUGAGCUAGAGGCCUGAGAACCGGCAGAAUUGAUGGUGUAAGUCCCAGUCCAAGUACAGGAGAAGACCGAUGUCCUGGCUUGACAGCAGUCAGGCAGAGAGAACAAUGCUCCCUUACCCCACCUUUUGUCCUAUUCAGGCCUCAGUGGCUUCGAGGAGGCCCACCCACUCUGGGGAGGGACAACUGCCUUGCUCAGUCUACAGAUUCACGUGUUAAUCUCAUCCAGAAAGACCCUCACAGACACACCUAGAAUAACGUUUGACCUAACAUCUGGGCACCUAAUGGCUCAGUCAAGUUGACACUUAAAAUUAACCAUCACAGACAAUAAAAGAGCCUUUUUAAACAUCAAGAAGAGGAGAGGGACAGACUCAUGCUUGGUGGCACGGUGACGACCAGUAUGCGAUAGGAAGGGAGACAGAUCUGGGGCAGGCAGAGAGGGCUGAAGCUGGAGUCUCCCCUGGGUUCCCAACUACUGACAGGACCAUGCAGUGAAGAAAACUUUUUUCUUUUGAG
rnacentral:lncRNA from 1 species